rnacentral:rRNA from 1 species
AACGAACGCUGGCGGCAUGCCUAACACAUGCAAGUCGAACGAGACCUUCGGGUCUAGUGGCGCACGGGUGCGUAACGCGUGGGAACCUGCCCUUAGGUUCCGCAUAACUCCCCGAAAGGGGUGCUAAUACCGGAUAAUGUCUUCGGACCAAAGAUUUAUCGCCUUUGGAUGGGCCCGCGUUGGAUUAGCUAGUUGGUAGGGUAAAAGCCUACCAAGGCGACGAUCCAUAGCUGGUCUGAGAGGAUGAUCAGCCACACUGGGACUGAGACACGGCCCAGACUCCUACGGGAGGCAGCAGUGGGGAAUAUUGGACAAUGGGCGAAAGCCGGAUCCAGCCAUGCCGCGUGAGUGAUGAAGGCCUUAGGGUUGUAAAGCUCUUUUACCCGGGAUGAUAAUGACAGUACCGGGAGAAUAAGCUCCGGCUAACUCCGU